UAAUUUACAUCAUUAAAAAGCCAUUUUAAGGUGUUUAAGGAACUUGUAUGCUUGGAGAAUCAUUGGAGAUUAUUUUAGAGCUUUCAAGUCUUCUUAAUCUUUAUCUUAAAGUCCAUAAAUCCUUUGCAAAUUUGUUAUUACGCGCUAAUUGGAUACCCGAACUGCUAGCAUACAUACGGACGCAAACUUGUAACUAAGUGGAUCUUGGUGAGACAAAUUAUGAAGUUUCAAGUUUACUAUGAAGACGAUGUCAUCCGUAUUUUGGAGGGUUUGAUCCAUAUAUCCCGUCUUCGAACGGGACAUAGGAUGCAAAACCUCGUUAUUUCAAAAACUUUAUUUUGAACAAGUCUUGUUUGUAGAACUUAUAAACUUAUGUUGUCUUUUGCUACAAAACAACUUAUGACUUGUAUCUUUACAUUAUGGAAUGGAUGAACA
rnacentral:lncRNA from 1 species